CCUUCCGUAGGGUAACCUGCGGAGGGAUCAUUACCGAGUUUACAACUCCCAAACCCAAUGUGAACGUUACCAAACUGUUGCCUCGGCGGGAUCUCUGCCCCGGGUGCGUCGCAGCCCCGGACCAAGGCGCCCGCCGGAGGACCAACCAAAACUCUUAUUGUAUACCCCCUCGCGGGUUUUUUUAUAAUCUGAGCCUUCUCGGCGCCUCUCGUAGGCGUUUCGAAAAUGAAUCAAAACUUUCAACAACGGAUCUCUUGGUUCUGGCAUCGAUGAAGAACGCAGCGAAAUGCGAUAAGUAAUGUGAAUUGCAGAAUUCAGUGAAUCAUCGAAUCUUUGAACGCACAUUGCGCCCGCCAGUAUUCUGGCGGGCAUGCCUGUCCGAGCGUCAUUUCAACCCUCGAACCCCUCCGGGGGGUCGGCGUUGGGGAUCGGCCCUCCCUUAGCGGGUGGCCGUCUCCGAAAUACAGUGGCGGUCUCGCCGCAGCCUCUCCUGCGCAGUAGUUUGCACACUCGCAUCGGGAGCGCGGCGCGUCCACAGCCGUUAAACACCCAACUUCUGAAAUGUUGACCUCGGAUCAGGUAGGAAUACCCGCUGAACUUAAGCAUAUCAAUAAGGCGGAGGAA
rnacentral:rRNA from 1 species